GACGAACGCUGGCGGCGUGCUUAACACAUGCAAGUCGAACGAAGUGGCGUACGGGUGAGUAACGCGUAAUCAACCUGCCCUUCAGUGGGGGACAACAGUUGGAAACGACUGCUCAUACCGCAUACUGAAGGAGGGGAUUUCGUCUGAUUCGCUAGUUGGAGGGGUAACGGCCCACCAAGGCGAUGAUCAGUAUCCGGGCUGGAAGGAUGAACGGGCACAUUGGGACUGGGACACGGCCCAGACUCCUACGGGAGGCAGCAGUGGGGAAUCUUCCGAAAUGGGCGAAAGUCUGACGGAGCAAAGCCGCGUGAGUGAUGACGGCCUUCGGGUUGGAAAGCUCUGUUAAUCGGGACGCGGUACCGGAAUAGAAAGCCACGGCUAACUACGUGCCAGCAGCCGCGGUAAUAC
rnacentral:rRNA from 1 species